rnacentral:tRNA from 1 species
GCAGGGGUCGCCAAGCGGUCAAAGGCGCUGGCUUCAGGAGCCAGUCCCUUAGUGGGUUCAUGGGUUCAAAGAGCCCUUUUCGGGCU